CCCUUAGAUGUCCUGGGCCGCACGCGCGCUACACUGAUGCAUUCAACGAGUUUCUUCCUGGUCCGAGAGGAAUGGGUAACCUUUUGAAAGUGCAUCGUGAUAGGGAUAGACUAUUGCAAUUAUUGGUCUUCAACGAGGAAUUCCUGGUAGACGUAGUUCAUCAGACUGCAUCGAUUACGUCCCUGCCCUUUGUACACACCGCCCGUCGCUCCUACCGAUUGAAUGCUCAGGUGAGCCAUUCGGACUUUCAUCAUGCUGGUUUCCAGUUUUGAUGAAGGAAAGUCUUGCGAACCUUAUCAUUUAGAGGAAGGAGAAGUCGUAACA
rnacentral:rRNA from 1 species